rnacentral:ribozyme from 1 species
UUUUUUUUUUUUUUUUUUUUUUUUUUUUUUUUUUCAUCAAAUA